rnacentral:rRNA from 1 species
AGAUGCGAUCAUACCAGCACUAUUGCAUCGGAUCCCAUCAGAACUCCGAAGUUAAGCGUGCUUGGGAGAUGUAUAUUAGUUUUAUACACACCAGCUAUGUGAGUGAAUUUUUUAUAUAUA